CCUCGCCUUGAUAGACGGCUGCACUCACGCCGGAGCUGCCAGGUGAGACACAAAGUGAAAAACACUCACCUGGGACGGACACACUUCUUCUGGAUCAUCACGGAGGUUGAUCCGGAUGGCGGGAAGCGUCGGAGGCGCCGGCUCUUCUGUUGCCCGCACCGCUAGAAACUUUGCCUGGGAAUUUGUCGGUUCAGAAAUUUCAGUCAUUGUUUCUGGUCGUGUGUGCAACGUGUGUGCCAAAGAACAAAAAAAAACACCCACCAGGUCCCACGCGGGCUUCUGCCGAGCGGGCAAUUUUUGGCGAUGUGGGCACGGCGGCGGUGUUCCCACACGCCAGGCGUGGAGCGAGUAAUGUGAGGUAUGUCGGCCAACCAGCUCGGCUCCAUGACGGGCGGGACCCCUCCCCCCUCCCUUUGUUGACGGCCAAUUAAAGGAAAGUAUAAACAACAUGCAUGAAAACAAUACUUUUUAGAAGGCUUUUCUAAUUGCAUCUAAGUUAAUAUCACAUGCGCCUCAGGUUUAUAACUAAGCUAUUUCUGAAUAAUUACCAUGUUGUCCAAUUUAUACUCUCAAUAUAUUGCAGCUGUUUUUGUUUUGUUUUGACAGUAAAAGUUUAUUGUGUCCUCUUCUUUUUGCUUUCACUGUUUUCACUGCUGGACUCUAAAAAAAGGUUCCGCAGCCUCCGAAGCAGAACCUCCAGCUUCUUCCCUCAGGCCGUAAGACUCUUGAACGCGUCAUAAUUUAAUCAUCUCGUGCCAGCAACUUGAGGGUUGCAGGUUCGAUUCCCGCUUCUGCCAUCCUAGUCACUGCCGUUGUGUUCUUGGGCAAGACACUUUACCCACCUGCUCCCAGUGCCACCCACACUGGUUUGAAUGUAACUUAGAUAUUGGGUGUCACUAUGUAAAAGCGCUUUGAGUCACAUGAGAAAAGCGCUACAUAAAUAUAAUUCACUUACUAUGCCAAGCGAAAGCCAUUUAUCAACAACAUCCAGAAACGCUGAUCGAUAAUUUGACCCCCUUAACAUGCUUCAAAACUCACCAAAUUUUACACACACAUCAGGACUGGCGAAAAUUGCCAUCUAAUAAAAAACCAAACCCCAAAAGUCAACAUUGCGCUCCAGCGCCCCCUAGGAAAAAACCCAGACAAAACUGCUUGUAACUUCUGUUAGGAAUGUCAUAGAGACAUGAAACAAAGACCUCUAUGUAGGUCUGACUUAGACCAGGGCUUGGCAGCGGCCAAAGGCGGACCCGACCAAUGCUGCUUGCAGCUUUAAUUUGUAAAUGAUGGUGGAAAAUAAGUAUUUGGUUCUAACUGAUGGAAGGAGGUUUUGGCUCAAAAUCUCAGGAUACAUGGCCCCAUUCAUUCUUUCCUUAACACGGAUCAAUCGUCCUGUCCCCUUAGCAGAAAAACAGCCCCAAAGCACGAUGUUUCCACCCCCAUGCUUCACAGUAGGUGUGGUGUUCUUGGGAUGCAACUCAGUAUGGCUCGGUUGGUAGAGUGGCCGUGCCAGCAACUUGAGGGUUGCAGGUUCGAUUCCCGCUUCUGCCAUCCUAGUCACUGCCGUUGUGUCCUUGAGCAAGACACUUUACCCACCUGCUCCCAGUGCCACCCACACUGGUUUAAAUGUAACUUAGAUAUUGGGUGUCACUAUGUAAAAGCGCUUUGAGUCACUUGAGAAAAGCGCUACAUAAAUAUAAUUCACUUACUAUGCCAAGCGAAAGCCAUUUAUCAACAACAUCCAGAAACGCUGAUCGAUAAUUUGACCCCCUUAACAUGCUUCAAAACUCACCAAAUUUUACACACACAUCAGGACUGGCGAAAAUUGCCAUCUAAUAAAAAACCAAACCCCAAAAGUCAAAAUUGCGCUCCAGCGCCCCCUAGGAAAAAACCCAGACAAAACUGCUUGUAACUUCUGUUAGGAAUGUCGUAGAGACAUGAAACAAAGACCUCUAUGUAGGUCUGACUUAGACCAGGGUUUGGCAGAGGCCAAAGGCGGACCCGAGCAACGCUGCUUGCAGCUUUAAUUUGUAAAUUAUGGUGGAAAAUAAGUAUUUGGUUCUAACUGAUGGAAGGAGGUUUUGGCUCCAAAUCUCCCGAUACAUGGCCCCAUUCAUUCUUUCCUUAACACGGAUCAAUCGUCCUGUCCCCUUAGCGGAAAAACAGCCUCAAAGCAUGAUGUUUCCACCCCCAUGCUUCACAGUAGGUAUGGUGUUCUUGGGAUGCAACUCAGUAUUCUUCUUCCUCCAAACACGACGAGUUGAGUUUAUACCAGUUGUAUUUUGGUUUCAUCUGACCACAUGACUUUCUCCCAAUCCUCUGCUGUAUCAUCCAUGUAUCCAUUUUGGUAUAAACUCAACUUGUCAUGUUUGGAGGAAGAAGAAUACUGAGUUGCAUCCCAAGAACACCACACCUACUGUGAAGCAUGGGGGUGGAAACAUCAUGCUUUGGGGCUGUUUUUCUGCUAAGGGGACAGGACGAUUGAUCCGUGUUAAGGAAAGAAUGAAUGGGGCCAUGUAACGUGAGAUUUGGAGCCAAAACCUCCUUCCAUCAGUGAGAGCUUUGAAUGGUUGACCAAAUACUUAUUUUCCAGCAUAACUUACAUAUAAAUUCUUUAAAAUUCCUACAAUGAGAAUUCCUGGAUUGUUUGUCCACAUUCUGUCUCUCACAGUUGAAGUGUACCUAUGAUGAAAAUUACAGACCUCUGUCAUCAUUUUAAGUGGGAGAACUUGCACAGUCGGUGGCUGACUAUAUACCUUUUUUGCCCCACUGUAUAUAUUUAUAUAUAUAUAUAUUUAAUUAUAUAUGCACCUUAUUGCUUUUUUUUUUGUCAUCCUGCACUAGCUUAUGUAACGAAAUGUCGUUCUUAUCUCUGCUGUAAAGUUCAAAUUUGAACGACAAUAAAAAGGAAGUCUAAGUCUUCUUGUUUCACUGAGCGCUGGAAUCGUGAAAUAAACAUGGUUGUCAGUCUGCAGACAUCGUCACUUAAUGCUCCAGCGUCGCUUGAUUGCGGUUACUAAUUUUCAUACGCACACAGCUGAAGGCGCGCAUUAAAACAGGUUUUUUCGCCAAACUGGUUUCAUUAGGUGGAGUGAGAAGAAAAAAAAAAUACUCAAAUGCACAUUGAGGAUGUUAAAGAUGAGUAAAGUUCUCAGGGUUCCUGCAGCAACCAUGAAUUAAUGAACUUUAACAAGUUGAAAAACUUAUUUAGUGGUCAAUUGUACGGAAUAUGUACUGUACUGUGCAAUCUACUAAUAAAAGUUUUAAUCAAUCAAAGGUAUGUAAUUGAACACUUUUUAAAAUGUAACAACUGUCCGCAUAGAGCAGUGGUUCUCAGCCUUUUUUCAGUGAUGUACCCCCUGUGAACAUUUUUUUUUAAUUCAAGUACUCCCUAAUUAGAGCAAAGCAUCUUUGGUUGAAAAAAAAAGGAUAAAGAAGUAAAAUACAGCACUAUGUCAUCAGUUUAUGAUUCAUUAAAUUGUAUAACAGUGCAAAAUAUUGCUCAUUUGUAGUGCUCUUUCUUGAACUCUUUGGGAAAAAAGAUAUAAAAAUAUGUCAAAGUUGUUGAAAAAUAAACAAGUAAUUCAAUUAUAAAUAAAAGUUUCUUUACAUAGAAGUAAUCAUCAACUUAAACUUUGGGGAUUGUAAUAGAGAUCCAUCUGGAUUCAGGAACUUCAUUCUAAACAUUUCUUAACAAAAAAAGAAAUCUUUAACAUCAAUAUUUAUGGAACAUGUCCACAAAAAAUCAAGCUGUCAACACUGAAUAUUACAUUGUUGUAUUUCUUUUCACACUUUAUGAACUUAUAUUCAUAUUUUGUUGAAGUAAUGUUCAAUAAGUAUGUUUAUAAAGGAUUUUUGAAUUGUUGUUAUUAUUAGAAUAUUUUUCUAAAGAUCUCUCGUACCCCUUGGCAUACCUUCAAGUACCCCCAGGGGUACACGUACCCUCAUUUAAUUCAAUUAUAAAUGCAGAUUUCUCCACAUAGAAGUAAUCAUCAACUUAAAGUGCCCUCUUUGGGGAUUGUAAUAGAGAUCCAUCUGGAUUCAUCAACUUCAUUUCUUCACAAAAAAAGAAAUUUUAACAUCAACAUUUAUGGAAAAUGUCCACAAAAAAUCUAGCUGUCAACACUGAAUAUUGCAUUGUUGUAUUUCUUUUCACACUUUAUGAACUUACAUUCAUAUUUUGUUGACGUUUUAGACAAUGAAUAUAUUUAUAAAGGAUUUUUGAAUUGUUGCUAUUUUUAGAAUAUUUAAAAAAAUCUCUCGUACCCCUUGGCAUACCUUCAAGUACCCCCAGGGGUACACGUACCCCCAUUUGAGAACCACUGGCAUAGACAAAGUUUAAAAACGAUGAUGUUGAAUAGUAUAAAAUUGCCAAAUUAAGCAGUAAUGUAAUCAUGUGAUAUAAUAACACGUGUAACUUUUUCAAACCUGAACGCACAUCUUUCAAUACUGGGCUAUUUUUAGGGUCCGCCAGGCCCUUUGCAAAGGACUCCACAGGAGUCCUUUGCAAUGGGCCAAGGACCCUAUUGAAACUGCUGUGUUUUAUUAUUAUUAUUAUUAGGGUCCUUGGCCCAUUGCAAAGGACUCCACAGGAGUCCUUUGCAAUGGGCCAAGGACCCUAUUGAAACUGCUGUGUUUUAUUAUUAUUAUUAUUAGGGUCCUUGGCCCAUUGCAAAGGACUCCACAGGAGUCCUUUGCAAUGGGCCAAGGACCCUAUUGAAACUGCUGUGUUUUAUUAUUAUUAUUAUUAGGGUCCUUGGCCCAUUGCAAAGGACUCCACAGGAGUCCUGGGUCCUUGGCCCAUUGCAAAGGACUCCACAGGAGUCCUUUGCAAUGGGCCAAGGACCCUAUUGAAACUGCUGUGUUUUAUUAUUAUUAUUAUUAGGGUCCUUGGCCCAUUGCAAAGGACUCCACAGGAGUCCUUUGCAAUGGGCCAAGGACCCUAUUGAAACUGCUGUGUUUUAUUAUUAUUAUUAGGGUCCUUGGCCCAUUGCAAAGGACUCCACAGGAGUCCUUUGCAAUGGGCCAAGUACCCUAUUGAAACUGCUGUGUUUUAUUAUUAUUAGGGUCCGCAGGCCCAUGGCAAAGGACUACACAGGAGUCCUUUGCCAUGGGCCAAGGACCCUAUUGAAACGGCUGUGUUUUAUUAUUAUUAUUAUUAGGGUCCUUGGCCCAUGGCAAAGGACUCCACAGGAGUCCUUUGCCAUGGGCCAAGGACCCUAUUGAAACUGCUGUGUUUUAUUAUUAUUAGGGUCCGCAGGCCCAUGGCAAAGGACUACACAGGAGUCUUUUGCCAUGGGCCAAGGACCCUAUUGAAACUGCUGUGUUUUAUUAUUAUUAGGGUCCUUGGCCCAUGGCAAAGGACUCCACAGGAGUCCUUUGCCAUGGGCCCUAUUGAAACGGCUGUGUUUUAUUAUUAUUCCGCUCCUUCGCGCCCUAAUUUGACCCCCUUAACAUGCUUCAAAACUCACCAAAUAUGACACACACGUCGGUGUGGCAAACCUUCCCAACUUAUUAAGUAACCAAACCCCAAAAAUGAAAAUUGCACUCUAGCGCCCCCUAGAAAAAAAACAAAAAACAGACUGCUUGUAACUUCCGUUCGGAAUGUCGUACAGACAUGAAACAAAACCUUCUAUGUAGGUCUGACUUAGACCUAGAUUUCAUAAUUGUAUCUUCCGGGGCAAAAAUCAACAAAAAUUUUGCAAAAACCCAUUCAAAGCUAAAUUUUCGCAAAAAAUUUGCCUCUUUGAGCUGUAAUUUGACCCCCUUAAAAUGCUUCAAAAGUCACCAAACUUGGCACACACAUCAGGUCUGGCGAAGAUUGCGAUCUAAUGAAAAAAACAAAUCCCAAAACUCAAAAUUUCGCUCUAGCGCAAUUUUUGAAUAAAACACAGCAAAAACUGCUCCUAGGAAGAAAACACAAACAAAAUUGCUUGUAACUUCCAGUAGCAAUGCCGGAAAGACAUGAAACAAAAACUUCUAUGUAGGUCUCACUUAGACCUACGUUUUAAUAAUCGACAUCCUUCAGCAAAAAUCAACAGGAAGUUAAAAAUUACCCCUUCAACGACAAACGAGCUCAGAGGAGAUAACGUUUGAAAAAAGGUUUACAAAACUUUUAUAUUUACAAUUGCAAUUGAAAGGUCAGUAACUAAAUUAUGCUAAAUGUGUAAACGAACAGCAAACAGUAAAUAUUGAACAUCUCGAAGUGCACUUUUUUUUUCUCAAAUUGAAAAAACUGGGUCAGGUGGUUUGUUUUGUUGCCUUUUUUAUUGCCCAUUGCCUCUGGACGUACAGUUGUGAUCAAAAUUAUUCAACGUCUCCCAAGCCUCAGCUUCGUCACUGACUUCAUGACAUUUGCAGCUAAUAUAUCCUGCUAGGAAAUAGAAUUCAUAAUGCCUUGAACGCGCUGGAGAUUCCCGGUACCUGAGGCAGAGAAACAGCCCAGAGCAUGAUUGACCCCCCACCAUGCUUAACAGUAGGCAAGGUGUUCUUCUCUUUGUAAGCUUCAUUUUUUUCUCCUCCAGACAUAACGUUGAUUCAUAGGCCCAAAGAGUUCCAGUUUUGUCUCAUCACUCCAUAGAACGGUUUCCCAAAACCUUUGGGGUUUGUCCAGAUGAUUUUUGGCAUACUGGGGUCUAUUUUUCAUGUGCCUGGUAGUCAGAAGUGGGGAGUGCGUGGGAGUUCUGGCAUGGAGGCCUUCAUCUCGUAGUGUGCGCCGUAUUGUCUGGGACCAAACCUGCGUCCCCCCCUCUGCAAUGUCCUGUUGUAGUUCCUCAGCUGUUUCCCGGGGGUUUUUCACCACUGUACGCUUCAAAUACCGGACAGCAGUUGCACACAGCAUCCUCUUUCUACCACGCCCAGGUAGUGUUUCCACUGUGCCUUUAGCUUUAAACUUGUGAAUUAUGCUCCCAACUGUGUCUCUUGGAAUGUGUAAUGUCUUUGCUAUUUUCUUAUAUCCAUAUCCUUUCUUAUGAAGAGGAAUGACCUCCUCUCUUGACUUCUUUGACCACUCCCUGGACUUCACCAUGUUGCAAAUACACCAUUGACCAUCUACAAGAAGCUGAGCAUCACAGUCUUUUUCAAUCAGUUUAAUUGUUGCUCGUUAUGGUUCUAAUCACAUCUACAGGUGUUUUCAACACCUGAUUGAAAAGACCUUAUUCAAAUUCUGUUCUUAAGAGUUAUGAUCUUCAAGGGGUUGAAUCAUUUUGUCAAUGAGGUAUUAAGAAAAAUGUCCUUUUUUGGUAUUUUGUAAAAUACAGUGUUACAAUUUAAGUUGCAUUUGUCGAUUUGACACAUCUUUAUUUGAUAUGACUAUAAACUAAAUACAGAAUAAAUGUCCAACUUGCUAAAACACCAAAA